rnacentral:rRNA from 1 species
GACGAACGCUGGCGGCGUGCCUAAUACAUGCAAGUCGAACGCUUCUUUCCUCCCGAGUGCUUGCACUCAAUUGGAAAGAGGAGUGGCGGACGGGUGAGUAACACGUGGGUAACCUACCCAUCAGAGGGGGAUAACACUUGGAAACAGGUGCUAAUACCGCAUAACAGUUUAUGCCGCAUGGCAUAAGAGUGAAAGGCGCUUUCGGGUGUCGUUGAUGGAUGGACCCGCGGUGCAUUAGCUAGUUGGUGAGGUAACGGCUCACCAAGGCCACGAUGCAUAGCCGACCUGAGAGGGUGAUCGGCCACACUGGGACUGAGACACGGCCCAGACUCCUACGGGAGGCAGCAGUAGGGAAUCUUCAGCAAUGGACGAAAGUCUGACCGAGCAACGCCGCGUGAGUGAAGAAGGUUUUCGGAUCGUAAAACUCUGUUGUUAGAGAAGAACAAGGACGUUAGUAACUGAACGUCCCCUGACGGUAUCUAACCAGAAAGCCACGGCUAACUACGUG